UACAGAGGUCUCAAGCGUUGUUCGGAUUCAUUGGGCGUAAAGGGUGUGUAGGUGGCGCCGUAAGUCGGGUGUGAAAUUUCGGAGCUUAACUCCGAAAUGGCAUUGGAAACUACCUUGCUCGAGGGUUGGAGGGGGGACUGGAAUGCUUGGUGUAGCAGUGAAAUGCGUAGAUAUCAAGCGGAACACCAGUGGCGAAGGCGAGUCCCUGGACAACUCCUGACACUGAGGCACGAAAGCUAGGGGAGCAAACAGG
rnacentral:rRNA from 1 species